GACGAACGCUGGCGGCGUGCUUAACACAUGCAAGUCGAACGGAAAGGCCAGUGCUUGCACUGGUACUCGAGUGGCGAACGGGUGAGUAACACGUGGGUGAUCUGCCUUGCACUCUGGGAUAUGCUUGGGAAACUGGGUCUAAUACCGGAUAGGAACUGCCGGGAGGGGGGGGGUGGGAAAGGUGUGGAGGUGCAAGAGGAGCUCGCGGCCUAUCAGCUUGUGGGGGGGGUAAUGGCCUACCAAGGCGUCGACGGGUAGCCGGCCUGAGAGGGUGACCGGCCACAUUGGGACUGUGCUGCGGCCCGGCCUCCUCCGGGCCUCCGCCGUCCCCGCUCGUGCGCUGUGGGCGGGCGCCUGGUGCGGCGACGCCGCGUGGGGGAUGACGGCCUUCGGGUUGUACCCUCCUUUCGCCCGGGCCGCGGCGUCCGUGCCGGUCCCUGUCGCCGCCGCCCCGGCUCCCUCCGUC
rnacentral:rRNA from 1 species